rnacentral:misc_RNA from 1 species
CUUUCUCAAACCCUCUGGUUUGGUGUUGAAUUUAUUAUGUAGCAAUACAUAUGAUUCGAAAAGCAUUGGCAAGGCUAUUUGAGCUUUUCUUACAACGUAUUAGGUUUUACCAACUCGUUGGCUACAGUAAGUUUGAAAAUAAAGCCUGGCUUUAGAACUCUCUAAA